UACGUAGGGGGCUAGCGUUGUCCGGAAUCAUUGGGCGUAAAGAGCGUGUAGGCGGCCCGGUAAGUCCGCUGUAAAAGUCAAAGGCUCAACCUUUGAAUGUCAGUGGAUACUGCCGGGCUAGAGUCCGGAAGAGGCGAGUGGAACUCCUGGUGUAGCGGUGGAAUGCGCAGAUAUCAGGAAGAACACCAACGGCGAAGGCAGCUCGCUGGGACGGUACUGACGCUGAGGCGCGAAAGCGUGGGUAGCAAACAGG
rnacentral:rRNA from 1 species